rnacentral:rRNA from 1 species
UGGGGAAUAUUGCACAAUGGGCGCAAGCCUGAUGCAGCCAUGCCGCGUGUGUGAAGAAGGCCUUCGGGUUGUAAAGCACUUUCAGCGAGGAGGAAGGGUUCAGUGUUAAUAGCACUGUUCAUUGACGUUACUCGCAGAAGAAGCACCGGCUAACUCCGUGCCAGCAGCCGCGGUAAUACGGAGGGUGCAAGCGUUAAUCGGAAUUACUGGGCGUAAAGCGCACGCAGGCGGUUUGUUAAGUCAGAUGUGAAAUCCCCGCGCUUAACGUGGAACUGCAUUUGAAACUGGCAAGCUAGAGUCUUGUAGAGGGGGGUAGAAUUCCAGGUGUAGCGGUGAAAACGCGUAGAGAUCUGGAGGAAUACCGGUGGCGAAGGCGGCCCCCUGGACAAAGACUGACGCUCAGGUGCGAAAGCGU